rnacentral:ncRNA from 1 species
CUGACAUGUGUGCGAGUCAAUAGGGUAGUAAAACCGUAAGACGUAAGAAAGUUUAUUAGAGGGAUCUCUCUGAUGGUGCACCAUUAACUGUCAUUGAUCUUGUUGGAAUAGUUUGAAUGUGAGGAUACCUAUCUAACCCCAAAAGAUGGUGAACUAUGCCUGAGAAAGGAGAAGCUAGAUAAAAUUCUGAAGGAGGCCCAUAAUGAUACUGAUGUGUAAAUUGUCUAUAUGAAUUGGGUAUAGAGGAAAAAGACUAAUCAAACCAUCUAGUAGUUGU